rnacentral:rRNA from 1 species
UUAUAUGAGAGUUUGAUCCUGGCUCAGGAUGAACGCCGGCGGUGUGCCUAAUACAUGCAAGUCGAACGCGUUGGCCCAAUUGAUUGACGGUGCUUGCACCUGAUUGAUUUUGGUCGCCAACGAGUGGCGGACGGGUGAGUAACACGUAGGUAACCUGCCCAGAAGCGGGGGACAACAUUUGGAAACAGAUGCUAAUACCGCAUAACAACGUUGUUCGCAUGAACAACGCUUAAAAGAUGGCUUCUCGCUAUCACUUCUGGAUGGACCUGCGGUGCAUUAGCUUGUUGGUGGGGUAAUGGCCUACCAAGGCGAUGAUGCAUAGCCGAGUUGAGAGACUGAUCGGCCACAAUGGGACUGAGACACGGCCCAUACUCCUACGGGAGGCAGCAGU